rnacentral:tRNA from 1 species
AAAGCUUUAAGUUAAAUUUAAACUAUUAACCUUCAAAGUUAAAUAUAUAUACGUUAUAAGCUUUA